GGGCGUCGCAGGGCCGGAGGCACGGGGAUAGGUAGAAGGAGCACCAUGUCCGCGGAAGUCCCCGAGGCAGCGUCGGCGGAGGAGCAAAAAGAAAUGGAAGAUAAAGUAACUAGUCCAGAGAAAGCUGAAGAAGCAAAGUUAAAAGCAAGGUAUCCUCAUUUGGGACAAAAGCCUGGUGGUUCUGACUUUUUAAGGAAAAGAUUGCAGAAAGGGCAAAAGUAUUUUGAUUCUGGGGAUUACAACAUGGCAAAAGCAAAGAUGAAGAACAAGCAGCUUCCUGCUGCAGCCCCGGAUAAGACAGAGGUCACUGGUGACCACAUUCCCACUCCACAGGACCUCCCUCAGCGGAAACCAUCCCUGGUUGCUAGCAAGCUGGCUGGCUGAUUAAAAGAGCUGAACUGCAUGAGUCUUCUAAUGUCCUUUAUUUCUCCUUACUACGUUACUUACCCACUUCUGUUUCCUUUCACUCACUCUCAUUUGAGACUGACAGCUUUGCAGGUAGUGGUAGUGUGUGCUACUCUUGUAAGGGAGCAUCCAUGUGUAGAGGUUUUGGUUAGUUUCACAGUGCACUGAUGCAGAGGACAUGGAACAGCAACAUAAGUAAAUGACGUGACAAUAAUUGUACAUUACCUAGCUGGUGUAGGGCUGGCUCCAGCAAGUAGCAAGCAAGUUUUACCGCUUUAAUGCUCUGGCUUUCUUUAUUCUCUCCUACUUGCAGCUUUGUAUGUCACCUUAUUUAAUAGAACCUCUGUUGUGUUGAUUUCUUCUGCAUCUUCCUUUUGAAUUUUGUAAGA
rnacentral:lncRNA from 1 species